AGGCGACGACGGGUAGCCGGCCUGAGAGGGCGACCGGCCACACUGGGACUGAGACACGGCCCAGACUCCUACGGGAGGCAGCAGUGGGGAAUAUUGGGCAAUGGGCGCAAGCCUGACCCAGCGACGCCGCGUGAGGGAUGAAGGCCUUCGGGUUGUAAACCUCUUUCAGUAGGGAAGAAGCGAAAGUGACGGUACCUAAAGAAGAAGCACCGGCUAACUAUGUGCCAGCAGCCGCGGUAAUACAUAGGGUGCAAGCGUUGUCCGGAAUUAUUGGGCGUAAAGAGCUCGUAGGUCGUUUGCCGCGUCGAUUGUGAAAAUCUGAGGCUCAACCUCAGACCUGCAGUCGAUACGGGCAAAC
rnacentral:rRNA from 1 species